UGACGUUUAGCAAAUUUGUAUUACUUUAAAUUACCAGCAGGUGGCACUGCCCAAUACCAGUAUUUGCUGCACAUGCAAAAAGUAGAUCGUGAGUGCUCAUGCAUUUACAUAUGAUAAAAAAGAAUUAAAUAUACAGUAUAUAUUAAAAGAUUUACAGGCUUAAAACAGUAAAGAAUUUGGCUUCUCUACUUUUACACAUAACUUUCCCUGUUAAAGUCAUUUUUCAAGGGGAAUCUGUUUUCAAAGGUCCUCCAGAGUGAGGUGUGAGAGUAAUAAACAAGCAGGUGUCAGUGUCUGUCACAGCCAAGGAGACCAAAAACAGACAGAACUCCCCAACCCCCCCACCAGAACCUAAAGGUAUAGUUUUGCACCUGGUCUCAUCUCUUGCUGUGGUUGUAAAUUCACCAGCUGUGAUUAGAGUUCACACAUUUGAACGUCGAACUCCUCUGAAAAGAAAGUGCAAAAGGCAGGACAGUUUAUAGGCAUUGUCACUCUUCUCUCUCUUUACACCACCAUCUAAGAAUAAUCAUCAUGGCUGAGCUGGCCUUAAGAGCUGGCUGUUACCCAGAGGGCCACCCGAAACUGUGUCAGUACGCUUAUUUAUGGCAGCAAAUAUAGACAGACCCCUUUUCUCACCUCUGAGAAAGAACUAAGAUUAGCAUCACCCUCUGCCCAGCAUGUAUCACCGUCCGAAUUUAGCCCGUUCCCCUUCUCAUGCCUGCCCGAUCUCACUCUGUCUGUCCUCUGGCCUGCCCCAAACUAUAUCUGUCCCAGUCUUGGCAAAGGUCUGCAGACCCUCUCCAGUGUCAGACCAAAUUUCAGCUUUCAUGGUUUGCAAAGUGACUGACCACCAGCACUAUAAAAGCCAGAGUAUCUGAGGUCUACCUAGCCAUUCCUGGUGCUAGUCAAUGGUUUCAUAGUCAGUGUGUUUAUUACAUCUCAUUUGUCGGUGUCAAUGCAAAACAGUUCAAAGUUUUAAAGAACUAAAACACAAUAAGCACAAAUACUUCAAAAUUGUCAAAAACAUCAAAUAAUCAAAAAAAUCUUUUAACUAAGAACUAACUUGGUUUUAACUCCAUUUAGCCCCCUGUAUAAUUAAAUUAUUGGCUUCUGUAAUAAUGCCUUACAGUGAUGAAUUACCACUUUUUUUAUUUGACUGUUUUUGUUUGCGAUGAAACUGUCUGCUGCUAGGAUAAACCAUGCAGGCCAUAAUACUACAGAAAACAGAUUGUAAACACAUCCUGCUGCCUAUUGUUUUAUUUCAAUUUUACAUACAACAGAAUUAAUCUGCUAUUUCUAUAUUGAGCUAUCUACAACCUUAAGUGAAUGU